rnacentral:rRNA from 1 species
AUUGAACGCUGGCGGCAGGCCUAACACAUGCAAGUCGAGCGGAUGAAGGGAGCUUGCUCCUGGAUUCAGCGGCGGACGGGUGAGUAAUGCCUAGGAAUCUGCCUGGUAGUGGGGGAUAACGUCCGGAAACGGGCGCUAAUACCGCAUACGUCCUGAGGGAGAAAGUGGGGGAUCUUCGGACCUCACGCUAUCAGAUGAGCCUAGGUCGGAUUAGCUAGUUGGUGGGGUAAAGGCCUACCAAGGCGACGAUCCGUAACUGGUCUGAGAGGAUGAUCAGUCACACUGGAACUGAGACACGGUCCAGACUCCUACGGGAGGCAGCAGUGGGGAAUAUUGGACAAAGGGCGAAAGCCUGAUCCAGCCAUGCCGCGUGUGUGAAGAAGGUCUUCGGAUUGUAAAGCACUUUAAGUUGGGAGGAAGGACAGUAAGUUAAUACCUUGCUGUUUUGACGUUACCAACAGAAUAAGCACCGGCUAACUUCGUG